AAUUGCAUGUUAUAUAAGAUGUAAUCGGUAUUGAUCUAAAAAUUAUCAUGAUGCAUGAGAUAUAUGUAUGAAGUUUAGAUCAUAUCUAUGUAUAUUUAAUUAUUAAAUAUAUUAUGAACAUUUAUUUUUAUGGAUUGAAACAUAUGAUAUGCUUCACCUAAAAUCUUAGUAGAAUAGUUCUACAGAUCGAAACAUACAUUUCACACACUUAAUUAUGAAUUAAGAUUUGAAUGAUUUAGAUUUAAGAAUUGAAGAUCAUUAAGACACCACAUAAAUCGAUGGGCAAAGGAUUAGCUUGAAUCAGGACCUUCUAAUGGGUUAGACCUAGGAUUAGAAAUACAUAUAGAUCAAGUAGAGAAAUUGAUUAAAUAUAGAUCAAGUGUUGAAUUAGAUUAGGUCAGUAUUUCUCUAAAUCAAUCUCAAUAGUUGAAGUUUGAUCAAGUCCAUGUGUUUGACCUUAAUAAAUGGACCAUGAUCAUGGCUCCGUGGUUGAGCCCAAAUCUUUCGGUGAACCAAAUCGAAACUAAUUAAUCAGUUGAUUAUUGGAGCAACUUUCUCAGGUUGUGGACAUUAGGAAAUAACAAAGAUCAGGUCAUGGAGGUCCUUGAAGGUCAGCAACUAAACAAAAUAAAAACAGCCUUCAAAAUUUCAGCAGCCUUGUAAAUCCUGUCGGCAGGAUUUUUUUCUGUGAUUUGAACCUCUUCUCCACC
rnacentral:lncRNA from 1 species